UAGGGAAUCUUCGGCAAUGGGGGCAACCCUGACCGAGCAACGCCGCGUGAGUGAAGAAGGUUUUCGGAUCGUAAAGCUCUGUUGUAAGAGAAGAACGUGUGUGAGGGUGGAAAGUUCACACAGUGACGGUAACUUACCAGAAAGGGACGGCUAACUACGUGCCAG
rnacentral:rRNA from 1 species